GGAAGAGGACUAAAAUCCAGUUGAGCUGCUGAACGUUUCUCGAUAGAGGAUAAUAUAGCGUUGAGAGUUUAGAUCCAGUUGAGAUCGGAGAAGAGUUUAGUCUUCACCUCAUCUUCAUCAGUGAAUCAAACUUCGUUCUUCAUAGAUGACUAGUAAUUCUUGUGGCAAGGAUCACAAACUGAAAUAAAACCCGCAGCAUAUCAACUUGGGUUCUUGUUCAAAUAAU